rnacentral:rRNA from 1 species
UACGAAGGGUGCAAGCGUUACUCGGAAUUACUGGGCGUAAAGCGUGCGUAGGCGGUUUGUUAAGUCUGUCGUGAAAGCCCUGGGCUCAACCUGGGAAUUGCGAUGGAUACUGGCAAGCUAGAGUACGGUAGAGGAUGGUGGAAUUCCCGGUGUAGCGGUGAAAUGCGUAGAGAUCACUUGGAACGCCAAUGGUGAAGACAGCUCGCUGGGGGUGUCCUGACGCUGAGGCGCGAAAGCCAGGGGAGCGAACGGG